rnacentral:lncRNA from 1 species
CCUAGACAAAAGUCCAAAUUUCAGGAGCCUGAAAGAUAGAAGCGUCGUUUUUUUUUCAAUUCCCGGAUGGACCUACUCCGUGAUUAGAUCAUUGACUCAGAUGACUCACCAAGUCAUUAUGCAGUGUGUAGGAUGCCAGAUUGCCACGAGAAGACGUGGCCACAAUAAUGUUUCAAAAAAAAACAAAUAAAGGUGACACACGGCUAACUGGAAGAGGAACGAUGAUGAUUUUGAGAAGGUCGGCCGGCGACGGCGAGAGACGGCACCGCCGUGCACGGGGAUACAGCUACAGCGAGGGAUAUAUGACGAUGAUAACGAUGGUCUACCUGCCGCACGGACACGGAUUCCGAGCGCUCGCGCGCUCGUCCAUCUCCAUUUCCAUGUAAAAUAAGCAUGUUUGUUUGUGCUUAUUAGUCGAAUCUGCUAGUCAUUCAAUGGUAUUUUCUCUAAUAACAAAUCAACUAACAAUAUUUUUUGUUAUGAUUUAUCAGCUAAACGAACAAGACACGCCCGAGCAACCUCUAGUACGUCAAUUGGUGAAGGGAUCGAUCCUUCUUCUAGCUUUAUUUCUCUCUCUCAUUUUCACAAACAAAAGAAAAAGAAAAAAAAAUAAAGAAAGUGUCCUCCGAAUUGAGUAUACCGGUAGCUCCGGCGUCGCUCUCGAUGGAGAUGCUGUGUCUGUCCGUCAGGACGCACGCAACGUAACGGAACAGGACUACUACAAGUACUUACUACUUUGGCCU